GGUUGGUCUGAGUGCAGUGGUGUUUGCAGCUAAUUGAUCACAACCAGUUACAGAUUCCUUUGUCUUGCUCCACUCCUACUGCUUCACUUGACCAGCCUAAA
rnacentral:Y_RNA from 1 species